AUUGAACGCUGGCGGCAUGCUUUACACAUGCAAGUCGAACGGCAGCACGGGUGCUUGCACCUGGUGGCGAGUGGCGGACGGGUGAGUAAUACAUCGGAACGUGUCCUGAAGUGGGGGAUAACGCAUCGAAAGAUGUGCUAAUACCGCAUAUACUCUGAGGAGUAAAGUAGGGGAUCGAAAGACCUUAUGCUUUUGGAGCGGCCGAUGUCUGAUUAGCUAGUUGGUGGGGUAAUUGCCCACCAAGGCGACGAUCAGUAGUUGGUCUGAGAGGACGACCAGCCACACUGGGACUGAGACACGGCCCAGACUCCUACGGGAGGCAGCAGUGGGGAAUAUUGCGCAAUGGGCGAAAGCCUGACGCAGCCAUGCCGCGUGAGUGACGAAGGCCCUCGGGUCGUAAAGCUCUGUCGGGAGGGACGAAGGGUGGCGAACACUCUGACGGUACCUCGCAAGAAAGCACCGGCUAACUCCGUGCCAGCA
rnacentral:rRNA from 1 species